CUUUCACCUCCUUUCCCCCCUUUCUGCUCCUCCCUCUCUCUCUCAUUCCCUAGUCUUUUGCACCCUUUCUCUCUGCCUGCUAGUGGAGUCACCAUGACAACGGCCUCCAUGACAAUUACAGCCCAGGCAGCAGUGCCUCUUCCCAUGAGGCACUCCAAUACUCACUUGGAAUUUGCUCCCUGAUUUCAUGGCCCAGGCAGUGAAUUUGCCUCACUCCCCAAGUUUCCACAAGGCCACAGGGAAUAGACUUGGUAGCCAACCACAGCCCCGAAGAUGGGAGAAAGCAAAGAAGGAAGAAUGAAGCAUGGGAGAGAAUGAAAGAGGAGAGGGGGAACUGAAGCUCUCAUCUUCCUCUUCUCUGAUGGAACACAAAGGACUCCAGCAAAAACAUCUGCUAAGCACCUAAUAUAUACCAAGCUUCAAUCCUGGCUUUGGAUACACAUGGAUGGUUAAUGACUUUGGGAUCUCUUAAUUUAGGAGAACUAUUAUCUGGACUUCAUGAACAAAAUCACAGUACUUAAAAGUCACGAAUUAAUUAUCUUCAUCUCUGAUGCCCAGAUGGACAUUACAACUCUGAGUUAUGG
rnacentral:lncRNA from 10 species